UACGUAGGGGGCAAGCGUUAUCCGGAAUUACUGGGUGUAAAGGGUGAGUAGGCGGCAUGGUAAGCCAGAUGUGAAAGCCUUGGGCUUAACCCGAGGAUUGCAUUUGGAACUAUCAAGCUAGAGUACAGGAGAGGAAAGCGGAAUUCCUAGUGUAGCGGUGAAAUGCGUAGAUAUUAGGAAGAACACCAGUGGCGAAGGCGGCUUUCUGGACUGAAACUGACGUUGAGGCACGAAAGCGUGGGGAGCGAACAGG
rnacentral:rRNA from 1 species